rnacentral:rRNA from 1 species
UAGUAACGGCGAGUGAAGCGGGAACAGCUCAAAUUUGAAAUCUGGCCCUUGGGUCCGAGUUGUAAUUUGUAGAGGAUGCUUUUGGUGCGGUGCCUUCCGAGUUCCCUGGAACGGGACGCCUUAGAGGGUGAGAGCCCCGUACGGUUGGACGCCUAGCCUCUGUAAAGCUCCUUCGACGAGUCGAGUAGUUUGGGAAUGCUGCUCUAAAUGGGAGGUAUAUUUCUUCUAAAGCUAAAUACUGGCCAGAGACCGAUAGCGCACAAGUAGAGUGAUCGAAAGAUGAAAAGCACUUUGAAAAGAGGGUUAAAUAGCACGUGAAAUUGUUGAAAGGGAAGCGUUUAUGACCAGACUUUUUCUAGGGGGAUCAUCCGGUGUUCUCACCGGUGCACUUCCCCUAGUUGAGGCCAGCAUCGGUUUCCGGAGGGGGAUAAAAGCUUCGGGAAUGUGACUCCCUCGGGAGUGUUAUAGCCCGUUGCAUAAUACCCUUCUGGGGACCGAGGUUCGCGCAUCUGCAAGGAUGCUGGCAUAAUGGUCAUCAACGACCCGUCUUGAAACACGGACCAAGGAGUCGAACAUUUAUGCGAGUGUUUGGGUGUUAAACCCUCACGCGUAAUGAAAGUGAACGGAGGUGAGAGCCCUUACGGGUGCAUCAUCGACCGAUCCUGAUGUCUUCGGAUGGAUUUGAGUAAGAGCAUAACUGUUCGGACCCGAAAGAUGGUGAACUAUGCGUGGAUAGGGUGAAGCCAGGAGAAAUCCUGGUGGAGGCUCGCAGCGGUUCUGACGUGCAAAUCGAUCGUCAAAUCUGCGCAUGGGGGCGAAAGACUAAUCGA